rnacentral:rRNA from 1 species
UACGAAGGGGGCUAGCGUUGCUCGGAUUGACUGGGCGUAAAGGGCGCGUAGGCGGAUAGUACAGUCAGGCGUGAAAUUCCUGGGCUCAACCUGGGGGCUGCGUUUGAUACGUAUUGUCUGGAGUUCGGAAGAGGGUCGUGGAAUUCCCAGUGUAGAGGUGAAAUUCGUAGAUAUUCGGAAGAACACCAGUGGCGAAGGCGGCUCACUGGACAUGUAUUGACGCUGAGGUGCGAAAGCGUGGGGAGCAAACAGG